rnacentral:lncRNA from 1 species
UUCCUCGUGGUAUAAAAUUGAGUUGCUGAUUUGCAACCUUUCUUCUAUUUGAAGCAGCCAGAAUGAACUAAGACAUCCUGGGAGGGACAUCUCAAUUCCAGGGAAGUGUCAAACAAUGCUGUGCAAUGUAGCCAGGCUUCUACGGCAGAGACAUGGAGCCCUGAACUCUCCUAAGAAGGUGAAUGUGUCCCCUCAUGAAGUGCAGCUAAUGGGACCAAUGCAGUGGAGCAGCUACGUUCUAGUUCUUUCUUGAAGCCACUCAUGCAUAAGAGGUAUGAGAAGUCAUAUUUGAGUUAGAGCCAGAUGAAAACCUCAAGAAUUACCAGUUAUUCCACUGAAGUAAAGCACUGUUUCCAGAGGACUUCCAUUUGAAGGAAAACAUGCUUCUUCCUUCAUUCAGUGCACACUUAUUGGAUGCCUUCUCUGAGCCUUGUGCUGAGCCACAAGAGCUAAAGCAUAAACCCACCAGGAACUAACAAUACCUAACAUAAGUUGAUUUUUUUUCAGAGUGCAUUGAUCACAGUAGAUCAUAGUCAAGCAUUAUCUUCAUAGAAUAGAACUUGAUGUCUGUAGGUGUAAUUUCUGAGUGGUUGAUAAAGGUCUCCUGCUAAGGUGCUAGUAACCAGGAAGGAAUUGGAGGGUUGGUGGGUACUGUGGGUACAGCACGGGACCUAGGCUAAUUGGGACAGUAGAAAAAGGCACCUAAAGAAAACUAUUUCUGAUUUUGUGUUUGGCCUGAGACUGAGCCUGCUCUCUGUAUUGUAAAGGAAUGGUACAUUAUUUCUUACAUCUGGUUCAAGGCCCAACUGCAGAGGGUGUAUACAUACAUCCUGAACAUUCCAGAGGGACUUAUCUGACAGUAGAACCAGUAAAUGUUACAUUUCUAGAGAUUAGAACAUCCUAAAAUUGCACACAGCUGGCAGUAAACUUGGGAGAACCGCUUUUUUGUGUGGUCAGGACAGUUUACCCUUCCCUGAUAGAACAAAAAUUAGUCAAAGGGAAGUAUGGGUAAAAGGAAAGGGAAAACUUUCCUUUCCUCUAGGUUUUCAUUGCCAAAAAGGAAGUAUCGAAAUAAUUUCAGUUGGCUGAUGAAUGGUAAAAUAUUCCAGGCAGGGAGCUGCACAGCUCAAAGAGAAUUAAUUUUAUAGUUUUCUGCCAAUUUUUCAUUUCCCACCUCUCCCCCAUAGAAAUGCGGUGUCUUAGUUACACACUAGAUGAAUAAAAUGAGCACAUAGCCUACUGUUCAGAGCUGGGAUUGUGGUCAUCUUCUGCCCUGGAAGAUAGGCAAGGACUAAUUAGGCAUGUGUCUCUUCCCAUCAAGUUUUGACAACCUGGAAGUUUGGUGGUAGCAUAAGGGGAGGCCUGCUGACAGGGCUCUUUGGUAGAAGGGACUGUUUAAGAGGCUGGGAGCCUUAACAAAUAGGCAUCUGGCAUUAUUUGUCCUGUCGUUUAUUUCCUGGAUCUCCUACAUUAGUGCUAUUCCAAUCUGGCUGAUGAUUUGAUUCAUUGGGGAAACUUUCUUUUUUAAAAUGUGUGUGGUCUCAACCUCCACUUUGAACUUUAGUGAAUAGGAAUUUCUCGGGAUGGGUAUCAAUAAUCUACAUUUUCAAAUAUGCUUUUCAAGUGUUUCUAAUGACCAUCCACAUUUUGCAUCCAUAAUUUGAGAUGACCAUAAGGUUUUAACUGAAAAAUGAGUGGGCUGGGGGAGAACUUAUUCAAUGUAAAGCCAUGGAAGAAGAAAUGCUUCUCUGUUGCUUUAUGCACAUCUGGAAGAUUGUAGAGCAAAGACAGUCCGUUUUUUUAUGAAAAUGUAUUAAGGUAAUAGAAUUUUAACAUUAAACAGAAUUGAGUAAGCCCAAUUAUUAUCUUAAAGUCAGAAUGGUUUCAACGUGCAGACAGAGGCAUGGUGCCUUUGUUGUUGCAUCUUCCUUGGGACUAAUUUAAUGAGUUCCAUACAUUACUCUGCAUUAAAAACGUAUGCAUAACAUUGUGUUCGCUACACUCCAUAGGGUUUUGCACAAUAUUUACAAAGUGAAUUUAACUAUAUUUAAUUAUAAUCUAGAGUGGAUUUUAGAACCUAAUCCUUUCAUAAAAUGCUACUCAACAUUUUGACCUCCAAAAUAUUUGAUUUCAGAUGUCUUCACAGGUGAAGAUAUAUUCCUCUUUACUGAAUACAUUAAAAAACACUCUCCAAAAUCAUGUUGACUGUUUUGUUUCCAUAGCCACUAGAUAAUUGAACUCAUAUUCUAUAGAUGAUGACUACUUGACUGAGAAGAAUUUUAAAAAUUGACGAUACCUUUGUGUAAAUUUGUACAGAUAUGAUGGGAAUAGACAAUGCAUAGUUCUGAGCAUAUGCUCUUUUUUUUGUCCAUUUUUACACAAAAGGAUACAACCAACACCAGUAGUUAGUAUAUGGGAUAACCUUUUGAGAAUAAUGAAAGCAACAAAGAGUAUUUUUUAAGUAAGUCUAGAGCUUAGCUUUCUCACCUUUAAAGUGACAGACUGGCCCAGGCGAUACUUCCUUAAAUACACGAGCCUAGCUUCAUCACUCUGUGCUUCUGCUAGUCUCAGAGAUGACUGAGUCAGAAAAGAAGAUUAAGGGCUAACUACCAUUUAACAGGAUGAGAGUUUCACCAUAACUUUGGUUGUUCUGUUCAAAAAGCACUAUAGCCAGGCAUGGUGACAUGUGCCUGUAAUUACAUCCUCUCAGGAGGCUGAGGCAGGAGGAUUGCGUGAGCCCAGGACAAUAGUGAGACCCUAUCUCAAAAAAAAAAAAAAAAUGGAAAAGCAUUAUUGCAUUAAUCCCAGUGCAAAUAUUAUGUGUUAAGUGACUUUUCCUACCUUUGCCCCUAACCCUCAUCAUAGCUUAUCUUCCCCCAACCCCACAACCCAAGGAUUCAGUAGUACACACAGCCAGGAUUAUAAUUAAUAAUGGAAAACCAGUGCAUAUUCAGGUGUCGAGACUGUCUACACAAGGAGGACUGAAACUCACAUAUUGAGAAAUCAGUGCUUAUUUAGCAGAAGCUGGAGUUUUCUGGCCCUGGGCUGUUUCAAGGCCAGGUAGCAGCUACCUCUCAAUUCCUGGCAGAAAGCACAGGAACCCCAGAAUUUUGAAGUCUUCUGGAGAAGAGACUAUUUCUUCAUGUUCUCCUUGCUAGAUAUGAGGUAUUAAAGGUAAAGGAGAAGAGAAAACAAAUUAAGAAAGUAUGACCAACAAGAUAUAUUUAGUUGUUCUUGACAAUAAAUGAUGAGAUCUUGAAUACGAAUGGGCUAAGCCUGACAUGAUAAUAUCACUGUAGUUUUUAAAAAUGAUGAAUCUAAUAUUAGUUGUUACAUAGGUUGAAACCAGAGAGAGAAGAUGUUAGAUAGGAAACAGGAAAAUAUGUAUCAAAUACUGGAAAGAAGAAAAAGAAUCAUAUAGCAGUCACUAAGAUAAAAAGAGAGAAAGAACAUCCAAAGUCCUUCCUACUUUUCCAAUUAUUGCACCUAAACACAAAUGUACAGUUUUACCUUUUAUUGUCUGUUCACUAAUAUGUUCUUUUUGCUUCCUCAUAAACACUGCCCAUGUAUUUCAUCCCCUGCUCAUUUCAUGAUAUCUUCAUUUUUACUUUCUUGACUUCCAAGACUGAAGUCAGCAACUCUCGGCAUGAAUGUCUCUAUUACAGAGCCCCAUGUGCUAGGAAUGACCCCUGGUGCCCAGAAACCAUGUCUACACUGCUUCACCCUGCUCCCUUGGUCAUCGCCAAAGAAACGAGAAAUUAGACAUUGGUUCAAUUGGAACACUCAGAUUUUUGUCGCAAAUUUACAGCUAGACAUUGUCAAUAACACUAAGGAGGCUUAUAGUUAUCGUAUACUUGGUGUCUAUUCCAUAGAACAUGUUCUUAAUGAGGCAUUGUUAUUACCAGAUAGAUUUCAUAACAAAUGCCAAAAUGUAUGUAAUGGGGGAGAGAGAUGUCAGUAAGCAAGAUUAUGUGAUGGGAGGGCUACAACCAGAAGUGAUUUUGAUUCUAUAUUAUGCAAAUAUUUAAAAUUUUGUCUUGGAAAAAUUAUGGAAAGUUUUUAGACUUCUGCUUUAUUUCUGUAUUAAAAAGUGAGUUUAAUCCUGGAGUUCUUAUAUCACUGUUUCUACUUUUUGAAUAGGGACUAUUAAGGAAACUAUACCUAAUCAAAUUUUUUUUAUAUAUUAUAUGCAUAAAAUUAUAUUGAGGUUUCAAUUUAAAAGUGUCCUUAAUAAGAAGCACUACAUGUUCCGUUUCCUUUCAAGUUCAUAGAUUUCACAAAAGGAAAGUUCUGUUUUGAUUCCAGCAUCCACUCCUGUUAAAGACAUGAAAGGCUUCCCAGAAUAUUAUCUGCUAGUUCUUCAGUUAGGAAAAUAAAACCCUUCACCUCCUUAUGUUUAACAAAACCAAGCAAUUUCAAAAUCAGUUCUCUAGUUCCCGUCAUAGAAACAAUUUCUUUAAUUUGGGUUUGCCAUGUCAUAGCUUCUGCUUAUUAGUCCAUUAUUUUUACCCUGUGUUUCAGAGAAGAAACUAAUCCACUAGG